UACGUAGGUGGCAAGCGUUGUCCGGAUUUACUGGGCGUAAAGAGCGCGCAGGCGGUCGUUCAAGUCGCGUGUGAAAGCCCCCGGCUCAACUGGGGAGGGUCACGCGAUACUGAUCGACUGGAAGGCAGGAGAGGGUAGUGGAAUUCCCGGUGUAGUGGUGAAAUGCGUAGAUAUCGGGAGGAACACCAGUGGCGAAGGCGACUACCUGGCCUGUUCUUGACGCUGAGGCGCGAAAGCUAGGGGAGCA
rnacentral:rRNA from 1 species